UACAGUACCUCUCGCUCUUGUUUGCUAGAAUUUCAAUAUCUAGAUUACUAGACUGGAAUAAAAUUUUGUAAAACUGUUUUUGUGGUUGGUUGUGUAAUCGUAUUUGCUGAUCUAGGCCCUAGAAAUAUCAUGUUACUAACAAAGUAGUGGUCGUUUAGAUGGGCACACCUAUAGAAAUUUCAGAUAUUGUUACCGCGCAAGGAUAUAAAUAAUAUGGUACUAUAAUUAAAAGGCCGAAAAAUCUAAUACACAGCUCUACUUGUACCGAUUUGACAUCCCGCCACCUCGACUCCACGGAGUUUCAUUCAAACACCUAUAGUUGUUGAAACACACUAAUUUAAGCCCUUCUGAGCGUUGAUUGAGCAUAUGUGGCAACUUCACGGGUGAGUAGGAUAAAAUGCAUAUAUUGCACGCGUGUAAUGUGCGUGAACCAAACUUAGAAAUAGGAAAUGAAUAAAAUGAGUACCAAAAAAGGACAAAAAUAAAAAUGCAAAACCUUUACUUCCUCCCCUUCCUCAAUCGGCUUCCACAACCAACAGCAACCAAAGUGGUGAGGGCAAAGCUAAAGAACCAAACUCUACAAUAACGUUCAAAUCUAAAAGCAUAAACGCUGCAACAAACAAUGUCUUAUGAGAUUUGAUUAGAACUCAAUUCUUAACUAAAACACGAGAAGAAAAUCCAUACCUAGAUACAGAAAUCGUACAAAAACAAAGACUAACGAGAAAUAAUGAAGAAAUUUUGCCUAGAGUCGAAAUGUCAUAACCCAAGGAAGCCACAAAAAAAGAUAGGAAAGAAUAAUCCACAGCUAAAACACCAAAACCCAUAAAUAAGUGCAUUAUUGUUUUGAUUUUAUCCCAUGUAGAACAAAGCCACAAGCAAAAUCUUUUCUUUUAAUGUUUGUGGAUAUCUCUCAGUGGUGUAGUGGGUAGAAGAGGGAGAGAUGGGAACGGGCCGAAAGAGGAGACAGGGAGGGUGCGCAAGACACGGGGUCAGAGGUGUUUAAAAGACUAUUUUGAUUGAGUUCAGGUGUUUGGAUGAAACCUUGUGAACUUAAGAGGACGGAUGUCAAAAUGCACUGAUACACGUGUCUAUUAGGCUAUUCUAUCUAAAUAAAAUCCUGGAAAUAUCUUCUGUUGGUUUGUGAAUUAGGAUCUCACUCUGUUGAUGCGAGGGACACAUUCUUUAAUGCCUUGCGCUAGUGUUGUUAAAAUUGGAUUAAAUAUUUACGACAAAUGUUUGUGAAGGUUGUAAGAAGCAGUUA